rnacentral:rRNA from 1 species
GGCCCCUCUCGGGUUACCGAAUUCAGACAAACUCCGAAUGCCAAUUAAUUUAACUUGGGAGUCAGAACAUGGGUGAUAAGGUCCGUGUUCGAAAGGGAAACAGCCCAGACCACCAGCUAAGGUCCCAAAAUAUAUGUUAAGUGGAAAAGGAUGUGGCGUUGCCCAGACAACUAGGAUGUUGGCUUAGAAGCAGCCAUCAUUUAAAGAGUGCGUAAUAGCUCACUAGUCGAGUGACACUGCGCCGAAAAUGUACCGGGGCUAAACAUAUUACCGAAGCUGUGGAUUGUCCUUUGGACAAUGGUAGGAGAGCGUUCUAAGGGCGUUGAAGCAUGAUCGUAAGGACAUGUGGAGCGCUUAGAAGUGAGAAUGCCGGUGUGAGUAGCGAAAGACGGGUGAGAAUCCCGUCCACCGAUUGACUAAGGUUUCCAGAGGAAGGCUCGUCCGCUCUGGGUUAGUCGGGUCCUAAGCUGAGGCCGACAGGCGUAGGCGAUGGAUAACAGGUUGAUAUUCCUGUACCACCUAUA